ensembl:snRNA U6 U6 spliceosomal RNA
GUACUCAAAUUCGGCAGCACAUAUACUAAAAUUAGAGCGCUACAGAGAAGGUUAGCAUGGCCCCUGCGCAAGGAUGACACGCAAAUUCCUGAAGCUUCCAUAUUAAAUUUUU